UUUGGGCGCCAUUCUCCUUCUUCCUACAUACGCUUCUUCAAUUUAGUUUCAUCGUGCCUCUACCAUCACUCUUUCUUCGUGCCUUCCCAUGGAUGUUGACUUAGAAGUUCAAAUCUUUGAAUCGAGGAUAAGUUUAUUUGAAUCUGUGGUAACUUUUUUUAGAAUCGAUUGAUCAGAUCAGAUCACUCCGUCACUCACAAAGUGAUUAUACUGUUCGAUGGUCGCAAAGCAUGUCCCGAUGGUGUUGCACUACGAGAUUGUAUAGUUAAAUCCAGGGAAACUGAUGAUUUUUAAGAUUGCUAAUUAUACUUUAUUAAAUAUAUAUGUACCAUUUUCUUGAAGAUUGGUCUUUAAUAAAUAUAAUCAGUACCUAAUCGUUGAUAUAUACAAUAAUACUUUGUACUAGGUUUUGGUGGGUUUAUUAUUUGUAGUCUUGUGUGAUACUGGGUAUGCCAUACUUUCCACCUUUACUCUCAUUUAGAAUUUAAAAAAGACCUGAAGAUAUUUGGUUAUUAUGCUAUUCUAGGGCUGCAAUUUUGAUGUUGUUUUCAUGGGUGUUUCUGUGCUGA
rnacentral:lncRNA from 1 species